CUACACGGCCAUAUCAUGCUGAGAGCACCGGUUCUCGUCCGAUCACCGAAGUUAAGCAAUGUCGAGCCUAGUGAGUACUUAGAUGGGUGACCGCUUGGGAAACCUAGGUGCUGUAAGCA
rnacentral:rRNA from 1 species